rnacentral:rRNA from 1 species
AGAGUUUGAUCCUGGCUCAGGACGAACGCUGGCGGCACGCUUAACACAUGCAAGUCGAACGAGAGAAGAGGAGCUUGCUUUUCUGAUCUAGUGGCGGACGGGUGAGUAACACGUGAGCAAUCUGCCUUUCAGAGGGGGAUACCGAUUGGAAACGAUCGUUAAUACCGCAUAACAUAAUUGAGCCGCAUGAUUUGAUUAUCAAAGAUUUAUCGCUGAAAGAUGAGCUCGCGUCUGAUUAGCUAGUUGGUAAGGUAACGGCUUACCAAGGCGACGAUCAGUAGCCGGACUGAGAGGUUGAUCGGCCACAUUGGGACUGAGACACGGCCCAGACUCCUACGGGAGGCAGCAGUGGGGAAUAUUGCACAAUGGAGGAAACUCUGAUGCAGCGAUGCCGCGUGAGGGAAGAAGGUUUUAGGAUUGUAAACCUCCGUCUUCAGGGACGAAAAAAGACGGUACCUGAGGAGGAAGCUCCGGCUAACUACGUGCCAGCAGCCGCGGUAAUACGUAGGGAGCGAGCGUUGUCCGGAAUUACUGGGUGUAAAGGGAGCGUAGGCGGGAUCGCAAGUCAGAUGUGAAAACUAUGGGCUUAACCCAUAAACUGCAUUUGAAACUGUGGUUCUUGAGUGAAGUAGAGGUAAGCGGAAUUCCUAGUGUAGCGGUGAAAUGCGUAGAUAUUAGGAGGAACAUCAGUGGCGAAGGCGGCUUACUGGGCUUUAACUGACGCUGAGGCUCGAAAGCGUGGGGAGCAAACAGGAUUAGAUACCCUGGUAGUCCACGCCGUAAACGAUGAUUACUAGGUGUGGGGGGACUGACCCCUUCCGUGCCGCAGCAAACGCAAUAAGUAAUCCACCUGGGGAGUACGACCGCAAGGUUGAAACUCAAAGGAAUUGACGGGGGCCCGCACAAGCAGUGGAGUAUGUGGAUUAAUUCGAAGCAACGCGAAGAACCUUACCAGGUCUUGACAUCGUAUGCAUAGCUCAGAGAUGAGUGAAAUCUCUUCGGAGACAUAUAGACAGGUGGUGCAUGGUUGUCGUCAGCUCGUGUCGUGAGAUGUUGGGUUAAGUCCCGCAACGAGCGCAACCCUUACUGUUAGUUGCUACGCAAGAGCACUCUAGCAGGACUGCCGUUGACAAAACGGAGGAAGGUGGGGAUGACGUCAAAUCAUCAUGCCCCUUAUGACCUGGGCCUCACACGUACUACAAUGGCUGUCAACAGAGGGAAGCAAAGCCGCGAGGUGGAGCGAACCCCUAAAAGCAGUCUUAGUUCGGAUUGUAGGCUGCAACCCGCCUACAUGAAGUCGGAAUUGCUAGUAAUCGCAGAUCAGCAUGCUGCGGUGAAUACGUUCCCGGGCCUUGUACACACCGCCCGUCACGCCAUGGGAGUCGGUAACACCCGAAGCCUGUAGUCUAACCGCAAGGAGGACGCAGUCGAAGGUGGGAUUGAUGACUGGGGUGAAGUCGUAACAAGGUA